GACGAACGCUGGCGGCGUGCUUAACACAUGCAAGUCGAACGGUGAAGCGCCUUCCUUUUUGGUGGGUGUGGAUGAGCGGCGAACGGGUGAGUAACACGUGAGUAACCUGCCCCCUUCUUCUGGAUAACCGCAUGAAAGUGUGGCUAAUACGGGAUAUUCUGGGUCUGUCGCAUGAUGGGUCUGGGAAAGAUAUUGUUUCGGUGGGGGAUGGGCUCGCGGCCUAUCAGCUUGUUGGUGGGGUGAUGGCCUACCAAGGCGGUGACGGGUAGCCGGCCUGAGAGGGUGGACGGUCACACUGGGACUGAGACACGGCCCAGACUCCUACGGGAGGCAGCAGUGGGGAAUAGUGCACAAUGGGCGCAAGCCUGAUGCAGCGACGCCGCGUGAGGGAUGGAGGCCUUCGGGUUGUGAACCUCUUUCGCCAGUGAAGCAGGCCUGCCUCGUUUGUGGGUGGGUUGACGGUAGCUGGAUAAGAAGCGCCGGCUAACUACGUG
rnacentral:rRNA from 1 species